UGUUCUUGCUUCAUUAUUCAUUGGCUGAGGAGAAGAUAAGGGUGCUAUAUGAUCAGAAACAUAAGGAGCUAAAAAAAUUGGAUGAGAGGGUGCUGAUGCUCAUAAGCUUGAGGCAAUUGACAUUUAUAUCAGGAAGCUAUCAACAAAGAUAAGCAUUGCCAUGUCAAGUUGUCAACACUACAUCUAAAAAGAUCAACAACCUGAGAGAUCACAAACACGGGAGCUGAUUCAAGGCACUUAACCCUGACAAGUGGUUACAGUUCAAGCUCCAAGGGAAGGCCACAGUUAGCCACAAUUCACAGUUCUUCAGAUUUUCAUUUGACCCAUCAACUAAUCUGGGACUUGAUGUUGCUUUGUGUCUCAUCACAAGGGCUCCUAUUGGUGAGGAAGUAACUAUGCUAAAUUAAUCAAAUGUGUCACAUGCCAUCUAACAGAGUAUCCUCCUGAAACUUACAUGGGUACGCACCUAUUUCCGAUCUAGAUUCCAAAGGAUAUUUUGACCUAUUAAUCAAGAUGCAUUUUAGUGGAUGAACAGGAUAAGAUCAUCGGCCAUGAGUCCAAGUAUAACUAUAAGAGCUCAAAAUCAUUAUGAUCGAUCCCUUGAAAGGCGUACAUGGAAAGGAGUGUUGCGUCCUCACGCAGAUCACAACAAGCGCUACAAGAUCCUAUCACAGGCUAAGGACCGUAGCCGUGACACUAAUGUCUCAGGGAGCUGUGUUUUCUACUCUAUGGCUACUGCACUUGAAGCAGCAAAUCGAGUUUGCGGAGUGGAGGUUGAUGAGUUAUCAUGGGAGGACCUAUAUGAUAUGGUUGGGCCAUAUAAUCCACGCGCACUGCUGCAGCUCUGCGAAUGCUAAAGUACCGUGGAAUUCGGAGAAGAGAGGAUUAUAAGAAGAGAAAUUUCAAUUGCAAGCGAUACAAGAUAAGCCAAUUUUACCAGUUUUGCAAUGUGGACAUCAUUGAUGACGAUGUACCCUGUGGCUUGGAUCGCCACAAUAUGAAGGCAGCCAUUGAUAAUUUCCUUAGCAGGACUGUAUUGCUCGCCCACUUUCCCAUCAGUGAUAAUUACUAUGAUCUGGUUGAUGGAGGAGAGCACAUUUAUGCCUAUGACAAGGAUGACGAAGUUUUGGGAGAAGGAGAUGGGCCCGGAGGCAUUCCUACUCAUUUGGUAGUCAUAACAGGUUUCGGAUUUGAGGAGAGGAUACCAUAUUUUGAAUUCUUAGAUAGUAACGAGAUACCUAGCUGUUUGCAUAUUUGCUGACCGAAUGACUUCAGUUAUGAUCAAGGGCGAGAUCGAUACCACCAGCAUUGCUCAACCAUGGACCUCUUGAUGGGUUCACCAGUCUACUGGACAGAAAUGCUUCUAUUCGUGAUAGGCCUAAGCAUUUCCAUCUGAAUGGCUUUGUUCAUCAUAUUCGGGAUGGAUUUGGAGAUGAUCAGAUGGAGCGUCCGAUCGUCCGGACGUCGGGCGCUAGCUUCGUCCAUCCCAGAACGAUGAUCAGAAGCUCUAUUCCUCGAGACACGAGGCCUGAAAAGUUCAUGUUGAAUUAAAUCUACGAAAACUCGUGUGAACCUAACAUUAUUUGUCGCUAUGCGACCGCCUCGCAGUAGAGACACACAAGAUGACACAGUUAUCAGUAGAUCGUUCAUUGUGACCCUGUUCAGAAACGUAGGGAGUUACAAUACUUGGUAUAGUCCGCUCAAUGCAACAGCAUGAACAGUUAGCGAGGAAGAAAAUUGACGAGGAUGGCACAAGAACGACAAGCAGAGAAGGCACAUAUAAGUUCAUGUUGCUUCUCAUACCCAGUGGUGCUCAUUCAGUUUAAUGCAUUUGUUUCCACUAGGGCUGAUCGACUUGGGUAGAAGAGGCGGUAUAUAU